AGGAAGGUAGUGUACGUUAACACCUGCAUUAUUUGACGUUUACCUACAGAAGUAAGCUACCGGCUAACUCCGUGCCAGUCAGCCGCGGUAAUACGGAGGGUGCGAGCGUUAAUCGGAAUUACUGGGCGUAAAGCGUCAUGCAGGCGGCCUGUUAAGUCAGAUGUGAAAGCCCGGGGCUUAACCUCGGAAUUGCAUUUGAAACUGGCAGGCUAGAGUCUUGUAGAGGGGGUAGAAUUUCAGGUGUAGCGUGAAAUGCGUAGAGAUCUGAAGGAAUACCAGUGGCGAAGGCGGCCCCCUGGACAAAGACUGACGCUCAGAUGCGAAAGCGUGGGGAGCAAACCAGGAUUAGAUACCCCUGGUAG
rnacentral:rRNA from 1 species